GAACGCUAGCUACAGGCUUAACACAUGCAAGUCGAGGGGCAGCAUGAUCUUAGCUUGCUAAGAUUGAUGGCGACCGGCGCACGGGUGAGUAACGCGUAUCCAACCUUCCCUAUAGUAGGGGAUAGCCCGUAGAAAUGCGGAUUAAUACCCUAUGUUGUAUUUUUGAGGACAUCUGACGAAUACCAAAGGUUCACCGCUAUAGGAUGGGGAUGCGUCUGAUUAGGUUGUUGGCGGGGUAACGGCCCACCAAGCCUACGAUCAGUAGGGGUUCUGAGAGGAAGGUCCCCCACAUUGGAACUGAGACACGGUCCAAACUCCUACGGGAGGCAGCAGUGAGGAAUAUUGGUCAAUGGGCGAGAGCCUGAACCAGCCAAGUAGCGUGCAGGAUGACGGCCCUAUGAGUUGUAAACUGCUUUUAUGCGGGGAUAAAGUGAGGGACGUGUCCCUUAUUGUAGGUACCGCAUGAAUAAGGACCGGCUAAUUCCGUGCCAGCCGCUGC
rnacentral:rRNA from 1 species